AGAGUUGAUCCUGGCUAGGACGAACGCUGGCGGCAUGCCUAACACAUGCAAGUCGAACGGGGGUAGCAAUACCCGUAGUGGCGAACGGGUGAGUAACACAUAAGCAAUCUGCCCUUCACAGGGGGAUAACAGCGGGAAACUGCUGCUAAUACCGCAUAAGACCACGGUACCGCAUGGUACAGGGGUAAAAACGAAUCAGUGGUGAAGGAUGAGCUUAUGUCCCAUUAGCUAGUUGGUGAGAUAACAGCCCACCAAGGCGACGAUGGGUAGCCGACCUGAGAGGGUGAUCGGCCACACUGGAACUGAGACACGGUCCAGACUCCUACGGGAGGCAGCAGUGGGGAAUAUUGGGCAAUGGAGGAAACUCUUUAACCCCCAGCAAUGCCGCGUGAGUGAAGAAGGUCUUCGGAUUGUAAAGCUCUUUGAUUGGGGACGAAGAAAGUGACGGCACCCAAAGAACAAGCCCCGGCUAACUACGUGCCAGCAGCUGC
rnacentral:rRNA from 1 species